GUGCUCACUUCAGCAGCACAUAUAUGAAAAAGUGGAACAAUACAGAGAGGACUAGCAUGGCCCCUGCACAAGGAUGACACGCAAAUUCAUGAACCAUUCCAAAAACAC